CGGGGUGUGGCUCAGUUUGGUAGAGUACGUGGUUUGGGACCAUGGGGCCGGGGGUUCGAAUCCCUCCACCCCGA
rnacentral:tRNA from 1 species